GGGGUUGUGGCUUAGCAGUAGAGCGCUCACCUGGCACAUAAGAGGCCCUGGGUUCAAUCCUCAGCACCA
rnacentral:tRNA from 1 species